GACGAACGCUGGCGGCGUGCUUAACACAUGCAAGUCGAACGAUGAACUUGGAGCUUGCUCUGGGGGAUUAGUGGCGAACGGGUGAGUAACACGUGAGUAACCUGCCCUGGACUCUGGGAUAACUUCGAGAAAUCGGAGCUAAUACCGGAUAGGACCUUGCACCGCAUGGUGUGGGGUGGAAAGUUUUUCGGUUUGGGAUGGACUCGCGGCCUAUCAGCUUGUUGGUGAGGUAAUGGCUCACCAAGGCGUCGACGGGUAGCCGGCCUGAGAGGGUGACCGGCAACACUGGGACUGAGACACGGCCCAGACUCCUACGGGAGGCAGCAGUGGGGAAUAUUGCACAAUGGGCGCAAGCCUGAUGCAGCAACGCCGCGUGCGGGAUGACGGCCUUCGGGUUGUAAACCUCUUUUAGCAGGGAAGAAGCGAAAGUGACGGUACCUGCAGAAAAAGCACCGGCUAACUACGUGCCAGCCGCCGCGGUAACAC
rnacentral:rRNA from 1 species